rnacentral:rRNA from 1 species
UACGUAGGGUGCGAGCGUUGUCCGGAAUUAUUGGGCGUAAAGAGCUUGUAGGCGGUCUGUCGCGUCUGCUGUGAAAAUCCGGGGCUCAACCCCGGACUUGCAGUGGGUACGGGCAGACUAGAGUGUGGUAGGGGAGACUGGAAUUCCUGGUGUAGCGGUGAAAUGCGCAGAUAUUAGGAAGAACACCGGUGGCGAAGGCGGCUCUCUGGAACGGUACUGACGCUGAGACGCGAAAGCGUGGGGAGCGAACAGG